rnacentral:rRNA from 1 species
AUUGAACGCUGGCGGCAGGCUUAACACAUGCAAGUCGAGCGGUAACAGAGAGAAGCUUGCUUCUCUGCUGACGAGCGGCGGACGGGUGAGUAAUGCCUAGGAAUCUGCCUAGUAGUGGGGGAUAACUUGCCGAAAGGUAAGCUAAUACCGCAUACGUCCUACGGGAGAAAGGAGGGGACCUUCGGGCCUUUCGCUAUUAGAUGAGCCUCGGUCGGAUUAGUUAGUUGGUGAGGUAAUGGCUCACCAAGACCGCGAUCCGUAACUGGUCUGAGAGGAUGAUCAGUCACACUGGAACUGAGACACGGUCCAGACUCCUACGGGAGGCAGCAGUGGGGAAUAUUGGACAAUGGGGGGAACCCUGAUCCAGCCAUGCCGCGUGUGUGAAGAAGGUCUUAGGAUUGUAAAGCACUUUAAGUUGGGAGGAAGAGCAGUUAACUAAUAUUUGACUGUUUUGACGUUACCGACAGAAUAAGCACCGGCUAACUUCGUG